rnacentral:tRNA from 1 species
CGGGGCGUAGCGUAGCCUGGUAGCGCACUUGCAUGGGGUGCAAGGGGUCGCAGGUUCAAAUCCUGCCGUCCCGA